rnacentral:lncRNA from 1 species
CUUAUAAUUCAUUCAUUCUAAAAUGCAAGAAUCAUAUUUAAAGGAUAAUAAAAAUAAUUUGUUAAAUUCCUCUAUUAUAAAAAGGAAUCAUUUCAGAGAGAACAGCAGUAUUCUAUAGCAUGUUUUAAAAAUGCUCUAGAAUAACAUUUGGAAGAAUACACAAUACUGUAUGUGAGUCAUAGACAUACAGUCAAUCUUUAAUUUCUAGUAUCUUUUUCUACUAAAGUAGCCAAGUUUUCAAAAUAAAUUCACAAAAAUGCAGCUUUACCCAUUAUUUGAAAAUAAUUGAGAAUAGUAUCGUUAGGUAAGAAAUUAAUUUUUCAAGUAUUGCCUUUUUAUAGAUAAUUUGAAUCAAAAAGCAAGACAUUCUUUUAAAAAUAUAUAAUGUACAAAG